CUCAGUGGCGAUAGCACGUUGAAUCCAACAGUUUCCCCUGGAUCACUGAAGCAACUUCGCGCGUGGUUAGUAUCCGGACGGGUGACCACCUGGACAAUCGCGUUCUGAUGGCU
rnacentral:rRNA from 1 species